CGCGUGGAACUAAGCAUAUCAAUAAGCGGAGGAAAAGAAACUAACAAGGAUUCCCCUAGUAACUGCGAGUGAAGCGGGAAAAGCUCAAAUUUAAAAUCUGGUGGCCUCUGGCCAUCCGAGUUGUAAUUUAGAGAAGCGUCUUCCGCGCUGGACCGUGCACAAGUCUCCUGGAAUGGAGCGUCAUAGAGGGUGAGAAUCCCGUCUUUGGCACGGACGCACCAGGGCUUCUGUGAUGCGCUCUCGAAGAGUCGAGUUGUUUGGGAAUGCAGCUCAAAAUGGGUGGUGAACUCCAUCUAAAGCUAAAUAUUGGCGAGAGACCGAUAGCGAACAAGUACCGUGAGGGAAAGAUGAAAAGCACUUUGGAAAGAGAGUGAAACAGUACGUGAAAUUGUUGAAAGGGAAACGCUUGAAGUCAGUCGCGUCGUCCGAGACUCAGCCUUGCCUCGGCUCGGUGUACUUCUCGGCCGACGGGUCAGCAUCAAUUUUGCCCCUUGGAUAAUGGCGAGGGAAAUGUGACACCUUUGCGGGUGUGUUAUAGUCUCUCGUCGCAUGCAAGGGUCGGGAUUGAGGAACUCAGCACGCGCCCUCGGGCGUCGGCGCUUUGCGCACGAUGCGUGCUUAGGAUGCUGGCGUAAUGGCUUUAAACGACCCGUCUUGAAACACGGACCAAGGAGUCUAACAUGCCCGCGAGUGUUCGGGUGGAAAACCCGUGCGCGCAAUGAAAGUGAAAGUUGGGACCUCCGUCGUGGAGGGCACCGACGCCCGGACCAGACCUUCUGUGACGGAUCUGCGGUGGAGCGUGUAUGUUAGGACCCGAAAGAUGGUGAACUAUGCCUGAAUAGGGUGAAGCCAGAGGAAACUCUGGUGGAGGCUCGUAGCGAUUCUGACGUGCAAAUCGAUCGUCAAAUUUGGGUAUAGGGGCGAAAGACUAAUCGAACCAUCUAGUAGCUGGUUCCUGCCGAGUUUCCCUCUCGGAAA
rnacentral:rRNA from 1 species